GCUCCCAAAAACCUCUGUCCUUAUACUUUAAAGAGGUGUUCUGUCGGCAUUUUUUAGACAGUGACAUAUAAAGAAUCUCAGACAACAGGGGCAGACAGUUUUGCCCGGAGAGCAUCUCUUCCUAACAGUCCCGAAGAAAAAGGAAUCUAAAUCUAUCAUUCCUCCUCAACCUCAGAGCAAUCUGGAUUCAAGUCCCCUCAGUCAUCAGAUUUUAUUUGUGUGUGAACAACUUCCCAGAAAGAAAACUCUCUGGUUCUUCACUGCUUGGCCAUGACCUUGGUGUUCAUCUUGACGCUUGGGGUGCUUCUGUUCCUGAGAGGAACUGGAGCCCAGUCACUGACCCAACCUGACGGCCACAUCACUGUCUCUGAAGGAGCCCGUCUGGAGCUGAGUUGCAACUAUUCCUCCAGUGGAACUACUUAUCUCUUCUGGUAUGUGCAGCACCCCAACCAAGGACUCCAGCUUCUCCUCAAGUACUCUUCAGGGCCAUCAGAUGCCCUGGUUCAAGGCAUCAAAGGUUUCGAGGCUGAAUUUAAGAAGAGUGAAAAGGCCUUCCACCUGAGGAAACACUCAGCCCAUUGGAGCGACUCGGCCAAGUACUUCUGUGCUGUGAGUGACACAGCGCCUGGGACUACAGGGGGAGCUGAACACAAACCUUCUAAGACACUGUAACUUAAAGGACUAAGGGUCUCAGCCUGAAUUGUUUUCAGGAAGUUGACAUGUUCUGUAAAGACAAACAAUACAGAUAACACAGAAUCCUGGGAAGUGUUUGGUUUCUAUGGACAUCUUAGAUAUUUUCCCUUUUUCUUUUUUUUAAACUUGUUUUAUUUUUUAUUUUUUUAAAUUUACAUCCAAAUUAGUAAGCAUAUAGUGGAAAAAUGAUUUAAGGAGUAGCUUCCUUAGUGCCCCUUACCCAUUUAGCCCAUCCCUCUCUCCCACAACCCCUCCCAUAACCCUCAGUUUGUUCUCCAUAUUUAUGAGUC